GGGCAAUUGGUCUAGGGGUAUGAUUUUCGCUUCGCAAUCUCUGAUGCGCCCUGUGAAAGGUCACCGGUUCGAAUCCGGUAUUGUCCA